rnacentral:tRNA from 1 species
CCGGGCUGCUGGUCUAUGGGCGUGGCGUCAGUUGUGAACUGACGGUGGAUGAAGAAGGUUUUUCCGGCAUCAGUCCGUAUCUGUUCGGCCUGGU